rnacentral:rRNA from 1 species
AUGGGUGGGAAAGGUGGCGGAGGUGGUGGUGGUGGAAAGGGAGGAGGAGGAGGUGGCGGGAAGGGUGGAGGUGGAGGCAGCGGUGGCAAGGGCGGAGGGGGAGGUGGAGGCGGCGCGAGGAGCGGCGGAGGAGGUGGAAAAGGUGGUGGAACCGGAGGAGGGUCUGCCAAGUCCGGCGGCGGGGGCGGGCACGUUGGGAUGGGGAAGUCAGGCGGCGGCGGCGGGGGAGACGGCAUGAUGAGGGCCCCCGGCGCCGACGGCUACAUCGCCCGCUCCGGCUUCGAGGCCAACCCCCAGGGCUACUUCGCGGGUCUCCACCACGGAGACGCCGCCAAGUAG